CCUGGAGAGAUUUUUUUCUUAUCUGGUCUGUUUUAAAGGUUAUUAUAGGUUGUUUCUUGGGGAUGAUCUUGGCUAAAUGUGUGUCUAAAAGAUGAUUUUUUUAUUGUAACAUCUGGUAUCUAAAUGAGUUUGAAGCAUUGCAUAAUCUUGCAGUUAAAAGUUGGGGUUAGGUAAUUGUUUAGUUUGUGAUUCCAGAUAAUUCAUGCCAGAGAACUUAAAU
rnacentral:lncRNA from 1 species